rnacentral:rRNA from 1 species
CCGCGGUGAAUACGUUCCCGGGUCUUGUACACACCGCCCGUCACACCAUGGGAGUCGGAAAUGCCCGAAGUCUGUGACCCAACCGUAAGGAGGGAGCAGCCGAAGGCAGGUCGGAUGACUGGGGUGAAGUCGUAACAAGGUAUC